rnacentral:snoRNA from 1 species
GCGCAGUGAUGACAAACUUCACAACUACACACUCCGAAUUACUGUGAGGAGAUAAUUUAAGAACGGAUAUCUGAGCGC